rnacentral:rRNA from 1 species
GAUGAACGCUGGCGGCGCGCCUAAUACAUGCAAGUCGAACGAGCGAGCGAGAGCUUUCCUUCUCGAGCGUGAGGCGCACGCGUGAGUAACGCGCGUGGAACCCGUCUCUAUGAGGGGGACAACAGUUGGAAACGACGGCGAUUAUCGCAGAUGCCCACGGUGACGCAUGGCUCAGAGGGAAAAGGAGGAAUCUGCUUUGAGAUGGCCUCGCGUCCGAUUAGCUUGUUGGUGAGGUAACGGCACACCAAGGCGACGAUAGGUAGCCGGACAGUGAGGGUGAGCGGCCACCUUGGGGGUGAGACACGGCCCAGACUCCUACGGGAGGCAGCAGUGGGGAAUAUUGCACAAUGGGGGAAACCCUGAUGCAGCGACGCCGCGUAGAGGAAGAAGGUCUUCGGAUUGUAAACUCCUGUUGUUGGGGAAGAUAAUGACGGUACCCAACAAGAAAGUGACGGCUAACUACGUG